GAUUAUGGCUCAGGACGAACGCUGGCGGCAUGCCUAAUACAUGCAAGUCGAACGAACACUUCGGUGUUAGUGGCGAACGGGUGAGUAACACGUAAGUAACCUACCUAUUAGACGAGGAUAACUACGGGAAACUGUAGCUAAAACUGGAUAGGUACGAAAGUAUUAAAAGUCCUAAUAGGACUACUAAUAGAGGGGCUUGCGUCGCAUUAGCUAGUUGGUGGGGUAAAGGCCUACCAAGGCGAUGAUGCGUAGCCGACCUGAGAGGGUGACCGGCCACACUGGGACUGAGACACGGCCCAGACUCCUACGGGAGGCAGCAGUAGGGAAUCUUCGGCAAUGGACGAAAGUCUGACCGAGCAAUGCCGCGUGAAGUGAAGAAGGUCUUCGGAUUGUAAAGCUCUGUUAUUAGGGAAGAAAGGCUAUUAGAGGAAAUGUUAAUAGCGUGACGGUACCAAAUGAGAAAGCCACGGCUAACUACGUGCCAGCCGCUGC
rnacentral:rRNA from 1 species